GGAGUUAGCCGGUGCUUCUUCUGCGAGUAACGUCACAGAUGUAAGGUAUUAACUUACACACUUUCCUCCUCGCUGAAAGUGCUUUACAACCCGAAGGCCUUCUUCACACACGCGGCAUGGCUGCAUCAGGGUUUCCCCCAUUGUGCAAUAUUCCCCACUGCUGCCUCCCGUAGGAGUCUGGGCCGUGUCUCAGUCCCAGUGUGGCUGAUCAUCCUCUCAGACCAGCUAGGGAUCGUCGCCUAGGUGAGCCUUUACCUCACCUACUAGCUAAUCCCACCUGGGCUUAUCCAUCAGCGCAAGGCCCGAAGGUCCCCUGCUUUCCCCCGUAGGGCGUAUGCGGUAUUAGCAGUCGUUUCCAACUGUUAUCCCCCACAAAUGGGCAAAUUCCCAGGCAUUACUCACCCGUCCGCCGCUCGUCAUCUUCAAAAACAAGCUUUUGAAAUGUUACCGCUCGACUUGCAUGUGUUAGGCCUGCCGCCAGCGUUCAAUCUGAGCCAUAGAUACAACUCUAGA
rnacentral:rRNA from 1 species